rnacentral:rRNA from 1 species
UACGGAGGGGGCAAGCGUUAUUCGGAAUCAUUGGGCGUAAAGGGCGCGUAGGCGGCUAGGCAAGUCAGGGGUGAAAUCCCUCGGCUCAACCGAGGAAUUGCCUCUGAAACUGCCUGGCUCGAGGCCGGGAGAGGGUAGUGGAAUUCCCAGUGUAGCGGUGAAAUGCGUAGAUAUUGGGAGGAACACCAGUGGCGAAGGCGGCUACCUGGACCGGUUCUGACGCUGAGGCGCGAAAGCGUGGGGAGCAAACAGG